rnacentral:lncRNA from 8 species
AACCGCGGGAAGUCCGGUAACGAACAGAGAUCCUCCUCUACUCUCCGGUCUGUCCUGUGAAAUGUUCCGUUAACCUCCGGGUGGAUAAACUCUGAGAUGAACGGUCCACGUAGAGUAAUACUGGUUCUUCUUUCGUGGUGUUCAGUUCUCCAACUGCUGACAGCACACGCAGCACAGAGCCAACUGACAGAGACAGACAGUAGACUACAGAGGUAAGAGAGGAGAUGAAGCGAAAAACAUUCAUCAUCUCUGGGGAUUCAUUAAUUCAAUGUCAUGGCUAAACUGAUGCAUGUGUGUUUGGUUUGGAUGUAUUCAAGUGGUCAAAAGUGCACUUCAGUUUGCAUGUUUCUCCACAUAAUGAAUGCAUAUUUCCCUGUGCUAUGUGUGUGCUGUGUGUGUGUGUCCUGUGUGUGUGUGUGUGUGUGUGUGUGUGUGUGUGUGUGUGUGCGUGCGUGCGUGCGUGCGUGCGUGCGUGCGUGCGUGCGUGCGUGCGUGCAGGAGGGCUAAUGCACUGCGGAGGAAACGGGAUCUCCUAGGGGAGGAGACAUUCAGUCCUCUUCUCUCUGAAGCAACUCUCCCUCGCAGUGUUCUACACAAUUACACCGCCCGCGAUGCCUCCUCAGGUACACACACACACACACACACACACACACACACACACACACACACACACACACACACACACACACACACACACACACACACACACACACACACACACACACACACACACACACACACACACACACACACACACACACAUAGGGCCUAAAGUGCCUUCAGAAAGUAUUCACACCCCUUGA